GUUAAGCGACUAAGCGUACACGGUGGAUGCCCUGGCAGUCAGAGGCGAUGAAGGACGUGCUAAUCUGCGAUAAGCGUCGGUAAGGUGAUAUGAACCGUUAUAACCGGCGAUUUCCGAAUGGGGAAACCCAGUGUGAUUCGUCACACUAUCAUUAACUGAAUCCAUAGGUUAAUGAGGCGAACCGGGGGAACUGAAACAUCUAAGUACCCCGAGGAAAAGAAAUCAACCGAGAUUCCCCCAGUAGCGGCGAGCGAACGGGGAGCAGCCCAGAGCCUGAAUCAGUGUGUGUGUUAGUGGAAGCGUCUGGAAAGGCGCGCGAUACAGGGUGACAGCCCCGUACACAAAAAUGCACAUGCUGUGAGCUCGAUGAGUAGGGCGGGACACGUGGUAUCCUGUCUGAAUAUGGGGGGACCAUCCUCCAAGGCUAAAUACUCCUGACUGACCGAUAGUGAACCAGUACCGUGAGGGAAAGGCGAAAAGAACCCCGGCGAGGGGAGUGAAAAAGAACCUGAAACCGUGUACGUACAAGCAGUGGGAGCACAGAGCAAUCUGUGUGACUGCGUACCUUUUGUAUAAUGGGUCAGCGACUUAUAUUCUGUAGCAAGGUUAACCGAAUAGGGGAGCCGAAGGGAAACCGAGUCUUAACUGGGCGUUAAGUUGCAGGGUAUAGACCCGAAACCCGGUGAUCUAGCCAUGGGCAGGUUGAAGGUUGGGUAACACUAACUGGAGGACCGAACCGACUAAUGUUGAAAAAUUAGCGGAUGACUUGUGGCUGGGGGUGAAAGGCCAAUCAAACCGGGAGAUAGCUGGUUCUCCCCGAAAGCUAUUUAGGUAGCGCCUCGUGAAUUCAUCUCCGGGGGUAGAGCACUGUUUCGGCAAGGGGGUCAUCCCGACUUACCAACCCGAUGCAAACUGCGAAUACCGGAGAAUGUUAUCACGGGAGACACACGGCGGGUGCUAACGUCCGUCGUGAAGAGGGAAACAACCCAGACCGCCAGCUAAGGUCCCAAAGUCAUGGUUAAGUGGGAAACGAUGUGGGAAGGCCCAGACAGCCAGGAUGUUGGCUUAGAAGCAGCCAUCAUUUAAAGAAAGCGUAAUAGCUCACUGGUCGAGUCGGCCUGCGCGGAAGAUGUAACGGGGCUAAACCAUGCACCGAAGCUGCGGCAGCGACGCUUAUGCGUUGUUGGGUAGGGGAGCGUUCUGUAAGCCUGUGAAGGUGUACUGUGAGGUAUGCUGGAGGUAUCAGAAGUGCGAAUGCUGACAUAAGUAACGAUAAAGCGGGUGAAAAGCCCGCUCGCCGGAAGACCAAGGGUUCCUGUCCAACGUUAAUCGGGGCAGGGUGAGUCGACCCCUAAGGCGAGGCCGAAAGGCGUAGUCGAUGGGAAACAGGUUAAUAUUCCUGUACUUGGUGUUACUGCGAAGGGGGGACGGAGAAGGCUAUGUUGGCCGGGCGACGGUUGUCCCGGUUUAAGCGUGUAGGCUGGUUUUCCAGGCAAAUCCGGAAAAUCAAGGCUGAGGCGUGAUGACGAGGCACUACGGUGCUGAAGCAACAAAUGCCCUGCUUCCAGGAAAAGCCUCUAAGCAUCAGGUAACAUCAAAUCGUACCCCAAACCGACACAGGUGGUCAGGUAGAGAAUACCAAGGCGCUUGAGAGAACUCGGGUGAAGGAACUAGGCAAAAUGGUGCCGUAACUUCGGGAGAAGGCACGCUGAUAUGUAGGUGAAGUCCCUCGCGGAUGGAGCUGAAAUCAGUCGAAGAUACCAGCUGGCUGCAACUGUUUAUUAAAAACACAGCACUGUGCAAACACGAAAGUGGACGUAUACGGUGUGACGCCUGCCCGGUGCCGGAAGGUUAAUUGAUGGGGUCAGCGCAAGCGAAGCUCUUGAUCGAAGCCCCGGUAAACGGCGGCCGUAACUAUAACGGUCCUAAGGUAGCGAAAUUCCUUGUCGGGUAAGUUCCGACCUGCACGAAUGGCGUAAUGAUGGCCAGGCUGUCUCCACCCGAGACUCAGUGAAAUUGAACUCGCUGUGAAGAUGCAGUGUACCCGCGGCAAGACGGAAAGACCCCGUGAACCUUUACUAUAGCUUGACACUGAACAUUGAGCCUUGAUGUGUAGGAUAGGUGGGAGGCUUGGAAGUGUGGACGCCAGUCUGCAUGGAGCCGACCUUGAAAUACCACCCUUUAAUGUUUGAUGUUCUAACGUUGACCCGUAAUCCGGGUUGCGGACAGUGUCUGGUGGGUAGUUUGACUGGGGCGGUCUCCUCCUAAAGAGUAACGGAGGAGCACGAAGGUUGGCUAAUCCUGGUCGGACAUCAGGAGGUUAGUGCAAUGGCAUAAGCCAGCUUGACUGCGAGCGUGACGGCGCGAGCAGGUGCGAAAGCAGGUCAUAGUGAUCCGGUGGUUCUGAAUGGAAGGGCCAUCGCUCAACGGAUAAAAGGUACUCCGGGGAUAACAGGCUGAUACCGCCCAAGAGUUCAUAUCGACGGCGGUGUUUGGCACCUCGAUGUCGGCUCAUCACAUCCUGGGGCUGAAGUAGGUCCCAAGGGUAUGGCUGUUCGCCAUUUAAAGUGGUACGCGAGCUGGGUUUAGAACGUCGUGAGACAGUUCGGUCCCUAUCUGCCGUGGGCGCUGGAGAACUGAGGGGGGCUGCUCCUAGUACGAGAGGACCGGAGUGGACGCAUCACUGGUGUUCGGGUUGUCAUGCCAAUGGCACUGCCCGGUAGCUAAAUGCGGAAGAGAUAAGUGCUGAAAGCAUCUAAGCACGAAACUUGCCCCGAGAUGAGUUCUCCCUGACUCCUUGAGAGUCCUGAAGGAACGUUGAAGACGACGACGUUGAUAGGCCGGGUGUGUAAGCGCAGCGAUGCGUUGAGCUAACCGGUACUAAUGAACCGUGAGGCUUAACCUU
rnacentral:rRNA from 1 species